GUAGGUGAACCUGCGGAAGGAUCAUUAAAGAGUAAGGGUGCUCAGCGCCCGACCUCCAACCCUCUGUUGUUAAAACUACCUUGUUGCUUUGGCGGGACCGCUUUGGUCCGUCCGAGCCGCCGGGGCCGUCAAAAGCCCAGGCGAGUUCCCGCCAGAGUUAAACCAAACUCUUGUUAAUUAAACCGGUCGUCUGAGUUAAAUUUUUGAAUAAAUCAAAACUUUCAACAACGGAUCUCUUGGUUCUC
rnacentral:misc_RNA from 1 species